rnacentral:misc_RNA from 1 species
AGCAGCCGCGGUAAUUCCAGCUCCAAUAGCGUAUAUUAAAGUUGUUGCAGUUAAAAAGCUCGUAGUUGAAUUUCGGGAUCAAUACGUCGGUCGUGCUUCGGUACGUACUGGCGUAAUUGAUUUCUCCCUUCUGACGAACCAUGAUGUCAUUAACUUGGUGUCAUGGGAAAUCAGGACUGUUACUUUGAAAAAAUUAGAGUGUUUAAAGCAGGCUCACGCUUGAAUACAUUAGCAUGGAAUAAUGAAAUAGGACGUUCGAUCCUAUUUUGUUGGUUUUUAGGAUCAACGUAAUGAUUAAUAGGGAUAGUUGGGGGCAUUAGUAUUCAAUUGUCAGAGGUGAAAUUCUUGGAUUUAUUGAAGACUAACUACUGCGAAAGCAUUUGCCAAGGAUGUUUUCAUUAAUCAAGAACGAAAGUUAGGGGAUCGAAGACGAUCAGAUACCGUCGUAGUCUUAACCAUAAACUAUGCCGACUAGGGAUCGGAUGAUGUUAAUUUUUUAAUGACUCAUUCGGCGCCUUAA